rnacentral:lncRNA from 1 species
UCAUUUAUAUUUUUAUUAUUCUUGCGUCUGUUUCAUCAGUACCAUUAACACCAAUUAUAAUCCAGAUUAUCGAAUAUAUGGAAGAUAUCACAGUUAACACUAUGUGUGAAAGAAAGGCUGGUUCAAACUAACAAAUCUAAAAAUGUUCUUUUCUCUAAUUAGCAAAUCACACUAAUACUUUGCCACAAACAAAUGUUUUACAUGCGCAACAUAGUUGCAGUUCUUGUUACCUUGGAGGAGACGCUAGUCUAUAGUAACUAAUUUUCCCAUUUAAGCCUUAAAAAAUUUGGAAGCUACUUUAUGAUGAUGGUUAAUAAACAUAUGAGUGUUCUACCCAUACAAGUGAAGAGUAGAUCGAAUCUUCAUAGCUCUAGAAAUAAAUGCACUGCUUUUUAAAGAACACCACAUUUCCUGGCUGCCGUGGAAAUACAACGAGCCACACUCCAUCACUAUUCUAUAAAUUGCGCGAGAGAAAACUAAAAGGAUGGGCCUGAAUUUUUUUAGUGACGGGAGCCAGUUGGUCCUUAUUUCAUCGACUCCGAAAUUGUGAAAGGCAAAGUCAAACCUCGGCGGAAUUUGAUCUCAGCGUUUUACUAAUAUGUCAAACCACAUAUCUUGUUGCUCUUUGAAGCACAAAUAUCAUGCUUAUUUAUUUAUAAUAUAUGAAUUUUCUCUAGGAUGACUUUAUACUCAAACUCCACUCCGAAAGUUGGAAUUUUGAUACAUGUAGAUUCCACUUGCCCAGCUACUUACGUUUACAUCUGAAUAACAGUAACGUUUGCUUCUGAUUUAGAUACCUGCCAGCAUUUUCAGAGUAAGGGUUUAAUCGACUUGACCGAACUCAGUCCUUGACUGGCCCUCUUUAAUUGAUCCCGAAGGGCAUAGCUGGCCUUGGCGGCAUUUCAGCAGAGAGUGCAAAUAAUUAAAGAAACAAAACAGAAUGGUGAUUUUUCCGAUAACUCCCUCUACGAGUAUUUGUAUCCACUACAACUCUCAGACAACCAACAACUCUUCAUAUGUAUCACUUUUUUUUUUUAUCUCAUUUCCCUUCCCUUCUUUGUAAAAUCACCAUCCUCCAUGACUUCAAACUUCACGCUGCGAGAAUUUUGAAAACAAAAUUAAGUACGUGGGGCGAUCCGUUCAAAAAAAGCGUUUCAAGACGUGCCCCAACAUGACCGCAGUCUAAUUCUGAAGCAAGUAAAAGAUUGAAGCGGUUAGAUUAAUCGAGCUGACUUCUUUACCCUAUGUGAAGGACUCGAAAACUCAGUAGCUAUUGCCACACAUCCUUAUUGUCUAACACUAUAAAAAAAUUAAAAAAUCAUAUUUUGGACAAAGAAAAUGAACGCUAUU